UAUUGGGUUUCUAUGUUGGAAUUUUCUACUCUGAGGAAGAAGACAAGAGGCAGAAUUGCCGUGGUGUUGCAGAAGCACAGAGGAAAGAGAGACAAAUAGGGGUGCGCAUAAAGGAGAAGGACACGUUUUGAAGUCGGAGAAGACGACGAGGGAGACAGGUGCGCGUGCUCGGGUCACGUGCAACGUACAGGCGACAAUCCUUGCAGUGGCCUUGGGAGGAAUCCGUUGGGAAGACUCCAAAGCCGAGCCUAGCUUCUGAAAUUGAUGGAAAAGAGGAGUUUGGGAUUCAGCGAAAGAGGAGGAAAAAGGGGAUUUUGAAGAAGGAAACCAGAAAAGGAAGGUGAGAAUAGAGUGAGGAGACACGGAGAGGCUGCAUAACAGAAAGACAGAGAGAGGGUUGUGGACGGAGCAAAGGAAAGGCGAGUAAAAGGACGAAGAAAACUGAAAAGGAGGGCCGAGAGGGUCACCAAAUUUGAGCAACCUAGGGAUUUCCAAUCUGGGUCCCUUUGUCAAUUGUCCGAGAAUGCUUCUUGGUAGAAACUCAAUACAGGAAACCCUUUACGAUAUUCUAUCUGUGAAAGAGGAUGCAAGCUAUGAAGACAUUCGUGCAAGUUAUCGAUCUGCUGUCCUGAGUUCUCAUCCUGAUAAAUUAGAGAAGAAUUCCGAGGAAUCUCGUGCUGACCGCAAGUCAGAUGAUAAAUUUCUGAAAGUACAGAAGGCUUGGGAAGUUCUCAGCAACUCUAGGUCUCGAGCACUAUAUGACAGUGAGCUGCAAGCGCUAAGACAGCAUGCAAUAACUGCGGAAGACGUAAGUUUAGAGGAUAUGAUGAUUGAGGAUGGUAGAGAAUUGUUAGAAUUUUAUUACCAAUGCCGAUGUGGCGAUUACUUCAGUACUGAUUCUUUAGAGUUGGGUAAGUUGGGAUAUAAAUUAUUGAGAGAUGACGGGGAGAUAUGUUUAGCUACAGCAGAUGCUUUACCAGUAUCACUGGUUCUCCCUUGUGGUUCUUGUUCUCUUCAUAUUCGGCUAUUCAUCAAUGCGGACGUUAAGAUUACCAUUAAUGAUCACCUGUGAAUUGCUUUCCUUUUUCUUUUUCUUUUUUUUCGUUCCAAAUGUUAAUGAUAAAUUGUGGUUGAUUGA